rnacentral:rRNA from 1 species
GACGUAGGGCGCGAGCGUUGUCCGGAUUUAUUGGGCGUAAAGAGCUCGUAGGCGGCUUGUCGCGUCGAAUGUGAAAACCCACGGCUUAACUGGUGGCUCGCUUUCGAUACGGGCAGACUGGAGGUAUGCAGGGGAGAACGGAAUUCCUGGUGUAGCGGUGAAGUGCGCAGAUAUCGGGAGGAACACCGGUGGCGAAGGCGGUUCUCUGGGCAUGUCCUGACGCUGAGGAGCGAAAGUGUGGGGAGCGAACAGG